AACGAACGCUGGCGGCAGGCUUAACACAUGCAAGUCGAACGAGAUCUUCGGAUCUAGUGGCAGACGGGUGAGGAACACGUGGGAACAUCCCUUUCAGUUCGGAAUAACGUUGGGAAACUAACGCUAAUACCGGAUACGUCCCUCGGGAGAAAGAUUUAUCGCUGAAAGAUUGGCCCGCGUCUGAUUAGCUAGUUGGUGAGGUAACGGCUCACCAAGGCUACGAUCAGUAGCUGAUCUGAGAGGAUGAUCAGCCACAUUGGGACUGAGACACGGCCCAAACUCCUACGGGAGGCAGCAGUGGGGAAUAUUGGACAAUGGGCGCAAGCCUGAUCCAGCCAUGCCGCGUGAGUGAUGGCGGCCUUCGGGUUGUAAAGCUCUUUUGACCGGGAAGAUAAUGACUGUACCGGAAGAAUAAGCCCCGGCAAACUUCGUGCCAGCCGCCGCCGUAA
rnacentral:rRNA from 1 species